rnacentral:rRNA from 1 species
GAUGAACGCUGGCGGCGUGCCUAAUACAUGCAAGUCGAGCGAACAGACGAGGAGCUUGCUCCUCUGACGUUAGCGGCGGACGGGUGAGUAACACGUGGAUAACCUACCUAUAAGACUGGGAUAACUUCGGGAAACCGGAGCUAAUACCGGAUAAUAUAUUGAACCGCAUGGUUCAAUAGUGAAAGACGGUUUUGCUGUCACUUAUAGAUGGAUCCGCGCCGCAUUAGCUAGUUGGUAAGGUAACGGCUUACCAAGGCAACGAUGCAUAGCCGACCUGAGAGGGUAAUCGGCCACACUGGAACUGAGACACGGUCCAGACUCCUACGGGAGGCAGCAGUAGGGAAUCUUCCGCAAUGGGCGAAAGCUUGACGGAGCAACGCCGCGUGAGUGAUGAAGGUCUUCGGAUCGUAAAACUCUGUUAUUAGGGAAGAACAAAUGUGUAAGUAACUAUGCACGUCUUGACGGUACCUAAUCAGAAAGCCACGGCUAACUACGUG